GCACCAGUGGUUUAGUGGUAGAAUAGUACCCUGCCACAGUACAGUCCCGAGUUCGAUUCUUGGCUGUUGCA